CACGUAGGGCGCGAGCGUUGUCCGGAAUUAUUGGGCGUAAAGAGCUCGUAGGCGGCCCUCCUUGUCGCGUGUGAAAGCCCCGGGCUCAACCUGGGAACGGCGCGCGAGACGGGGGGGCUGGAGUUCGGGAGAGGAGCGUGGAAUUCCCAGUGUAGAGGUGAAAUUCGUAGAUAUUGGGAAGAACACCGGUGGCGAAGGCGGCGCUCUGGACCGAGACUGACGCUGAGGCACGAAGGCCAGGGGAGCAAACCGGGG
rnacentral:rRNA from 1 species